CUCAAUGGGGUGAUCAAGUAACUAAUGCAAAAUAUUUGGUCGACAUCCUUAAGGUUGGUGUGAGAAUGAGCCGCGGAGAAGCAGAGAACAAACUGAUUACUCGUGAUGAGAUAGAGAAAUGCUUGUUGGAGGCCACAGCGGGACCUAAGGCAGUGGAAAUGAAGGAGAAUGCAAUGAAAUGGAAGGAGGCAGCGGAGGCAGCAGUGGCUGAGGGUGGUUCCUCCGACUGGAAUAUACGAUAUUUUACGGAAGAUAUUGUAAAAGCGAAUGAGUCUGAGAUUGCAGGGAAGUGCAAUGGUUCUAAUGAGUUUCCAGUGUCGGUAGUGGUGAAGUCCAUUGAGAAAGUGGCUGAACUGGUGGGGUCAUCGGCAUGAGGGGAUUUGCUUUAUAUGCAGUGAAUAUGGAACUGGUCUAAUCCACUGUUAGUAUGAUGAAAUUAGUCUUGUUAUGUACUUGUCUACUUUUUACUUCUUUUAAUUAGAUAUUAAUAAUAUACAGUAAAGGCCAAAUGCCAUAUGUAUGGUUGUUAUCGAAUUUCUGUACUUUCCUAUUUAUAAUUUGCUAAAAUCUUAUUCGUUUGAAUUGCUUGUAAUGGUUGUUGAAAAUUAAAAUUGUUGUAAUAUUUUUAGUUUUUAUUAUAUUUAUGAUUGUCUUAUGAUUUGAGUAUAAAUUUCAUUAUAUCUAGGAUUUUUAUAAUGUCGAGCAUUAUUCAAAACUCAAAGAAAUUAUUAGAACCGUAUGGGUUGAUAUUUUAAGAAAGUAAGUGAUAGAUUAUCAAGUGGGCGGAGGACAACAAAUUCUAAACUUUCUAGUUUUGAAAAUAUAGUGUCUCAAUGAUUUUUUCAGUCUUCAAGAAAGGAUCAUGCAUGGUUAAGAAUUUAACAUCACAACUCUUGAACGUGAUCUAGAAUUAUAUUGGCAAAUAUUUGAAUUUUUAGUUAAUAAUUCUGACAAUAUUCAAAGAGUAUAUAUACAUUGAUCUUGGCCCAUAUGUACAUCUUAGUCAUGCAGAUGGAGCACAAUAUCGAAGGUUUCAAUAUAAGCCAUUUAAGCAUAUUUUUGGCUUGAGUAUUCUGUUGCCAAAGAUAUGACAUUUUGUUUUCCUUGCUUUCAUUUUAAUAAUGAAUAACAUAAAAGAGAGACUCAUCAUUCCAAUACAUAUAGCACGUCUAUAAGGAAUCGAGGGUUUCGGGCUCCUCGAUAGUUGCUCCCAGUAUAAUGAUCAGUCACCUGCUAGAAAGAAAAAUAUAUAGCUUUGAGCAAACGACAGUAAUUGUAGGACGCAAGUGAAGUGAAUUGGGUUGAUAUUGGGUUCGUUAUACAACAAAUAAUGCAAGGUAAGGGCGGUUUCUGCUAAGAAACGUGAACAGUGGAGGUUGCACGCAGAGAAGGAGAAGAGGAAAAUAAAGGAGGUGGAAACUGACCUGCAGUGGCGGUGCUGUUGUUGAUGGUGGGCGAAGAUGAGGACUGGCGGAGGACGCUGCUGGUUGUUUUUCCUCUUUCUCAGUAUUUUCCUUUUGCCUUUCUUCUCUUAUCUUUUCUCCUUCCCUCUGUUUUUCUGUUCUUCUUCUUUUGUUCUCUAGCGGUGGUAAUGCUACUGGUGGCGGCGUUGUGGCUGCUGGCGAUGGUUCCCGGCGAGGAAAGGUUCUUCUUCCUAACUAGGUGGCUGUGCAAUAGGGAGCUGUUGUGUGUGCCGGUCGACAGUUCUUUUUCUGUGUGUUUAUCCAGGAAGGUUCUUCUGAUGGGCUGCAUAUAUACUUGGGCCCAUCCAGGAAGGGACGUGCCUGUCAUUUUAGCAAAUAAACUGUACCCCUCCUCCUUAUUAUUUACUAGAUUUUUUUUUUUCAUCUUUUUUUAUUUUUUUUUAAUUUUAAUUUUAUUGUUUAAUAUUUUUUUUUAUUAAAGAUGAAGUUUUAUAAUUUAUAUAAUUUAUUUUUUAUAAAGUUAUGUAACAUGAACACAUAACUUUUUAAUUUAAAAAGAUCAUUUAUUGAUGUGAUUAUUUUUUAAUUUUAUUUAUAUAAUUAUUUUGAUGUGUUAAUAUUAAAAAUAAAUUUUAAAAUAUAUAAAAUAUAUAUAUUAUUUUAAUUUUUUUUUAAAAAAAUAACUUUUAUUACAAUGAUUGAGUACUAAUAAAGUGCAUCGAGAAUCUUAAAGUGGAUCGAAAUUUUUAAAAUAAGAUAUAACAAUCACAAUCACUUUUCAACGAUGAUGAUUACUCGUUUUAAUUUUUUCUUUUUUUUUUCUUCAUGAUGAACUUUUAAAACUUUUAUUUAUUUAUUUCUAUUUUUUUUUUUAGAUUUGAUACACGAUUACGAUUAACACUUUGAUUUGAGUUUUGUCAUUUUAUCUUUUUAGUUUUUUUAGAAUGCGUUUGGGAGUGUGGUUGUUAUUACUUUUUAAAUUAUUUUUUAUUUUAAAAAAUAUGUUAAUAAUUUUUUUUUAUUUUUUAAAAAUUAUUUUAAAAAUUAAUACAUUAAAAUAAUUUAAUAACAUCAAAAAUAUAUUAAUUUAAAAUAAAAAAAUUUAAAUUUUUUAAAAAUCACUUUUUAAUAACAAUUCCAAACCCCCUCUUAUCUUUUUAGUUUUUUUAAAGUGUGUUUGAGAAUGUAAUUGUUGUUAUUUUUAAAUUAUUUUUUAUUUUAAAAAAUAUAUUAAUAAUUUUUUUUAUUUUUUAAAAAUUAUUUUUAAGAUUAAUACAUCAAAAUAAUUUAAAAAUAUUAAAAAUAUAUUAAUUUAAAAUAAAAAAAAUUUAAAUUUUUUAAAAAACAAGCAAUUCCAAACCCCCUCUUAUCUGCAUACCCACAAUGCCAGGCGUCAUUGCCUGCGUCUAUACUUUGCUGAGUUGUCCUUCGUGAUUUUUCCAUAUACAGUGAUUUGUCCAUCGCCUGCCCUCCUUAACCUCAUCUCUCUUUCUCGCGCUCGUUGUGUGAACUGUGAAGUCAUAGAAGUCUUGAAGGAAAACAAAGAAGAAGAAAUUCAUGUGCUAAUGGCGGCACUCUCAUCUCAGGGUCACUUAAACCCCAUGCUUAGACUAGGUAAACGCUUAGUCAAUAAAGGUCUCCAUGUCACACUGGCCACCACUGAAUUCACCGGUCACCGCAUGCUCAAAUCUUCCACCAUCAACCCCACCUCCUCCCCCAUCUCAAUCUCUGGAGUCCAAGUUCGCUUCUUCUCUGAUGGUCAAAGCCUAAACUACGACCGCAUGGUUAAUUACGAAUCGUACAAGAAGAGUUUAGCCAAAUUUGGAACCAUCAAUCUCUCAAACCUUAUAAAGGAGCAUUUCCCCAGUAAUGGUCACAAAAAGCUCUCUUGCAUCAUCACCAACCCAUUUGUUACCUGGGUAGCUGAUGUUGCCAUCAAUCAUGGAAUUCCCUGUGCCAUGUUUUGGAUACAGCCAUGUUCACUUUAUGCCAUUUAUUAUCGCUUUUACAAUAAGCUAAACUCAUUUCCUACUUUAACAGAUCCUGAUAUGAGUGUUGAGUUGCCAGGCUUGCCACUGUUAUACAGAAGAUUUACCUUCCUUUGUUCUUCCUUCAAUUCCAUUUGGUAGCUUGCCUAAAAUGUUCCCAGAGAUGUUCCAGAACAUGAAGAGGUAUAAAUGGGUUCUUGGGAACUCAUUCUUUGGGCUUGAGAAAGAUGCUAUUGAAUCCAUGGCUGAUCUCUGCCCUAUUAGUCCCAUUGGCCCUCUAGUUCCUCCAUCACUUCUUGGUGAAGAUGAAGAUCACGAUACGGGUGUCGAGAUGUGGAAAGCAGAAGAUACUUGCAUUGAUUGGUUAAACAAGGAAGCCCCUUCUUCAGAUAUACGUAUCUUUUGGAAGCCUUGUUGUCUUAUCAGCAAAACAAAUGGAGUGCAUAGCAAAAGCCCUGAAGAACAGUAACAGUCCAUUUAUUUGGGUGGUUAAGCAACCAGACUUACCAGAACCUGAUGGUGCAGGACAAUUGCCAUUAGGGUUCUUGGAGGAGACGACAGACCAAGGGGUGGUUGUAUCAUGGUCUCCACAAACCAAAGUUUUAGCCCACCCAGCUAUUGCGUGUUUUAUAACUCACUGUGGAUGGAAUUCUGUGUUAGAAACAAUUGCUGCAGGCGUGCCGGUGAUUGCAUACCCCAAGUGGAGCGACCAGCCAACAAAUGCAAAACUUAUUGUUGAUGUUUUUCGCAUUGGUCUAAGGCUUAGAGCAAAUCAAGAUGGGAUUGUUAGCAACGAGGAAGUUGAAAGAUGUAUUAGAGAGAUCAUGGACGGACCAAAGUCUGUGGAGCUUAAAUCCAAUGCAAGGGAAUUGAGGAUCGCGGCAAGAGAGGCAGUUGCCGGUGGUGGUUCAUCGGACAAGAAUAUUCUGUUGUUUGUAGAUGAAAUUAUUGAGAGUUGUGGUUCAAUUGAAGUAUGCAAUGUAGAAUGCAAGGUUCCUCAUCAAUAUACACAAGGCAACGAAGGCCAAUAAUUGUGAUUGGAUAAUGCUAGGAUUACUGCGUUUUUUUAUUAAGUUUUGUUUAAUUACCUGUUAUUUAUUCCAAGGAAAGAAUUUCAAAUCAUGAAAUGUAGAUCAUAUCAUAUUUAAGACUAUGUUACUCUACUUUUAGCACUAACAAUGGUAAUUUUUCUAACCGGACUGAAGAAAUAUACGUGGUCUGGAUGUGCGAAAACCGAUGCUAUUAAAAUAAAAUAAAAUAAAAUAAUGCUCUAUAUAUUGAUAUUGAUGGAAUAUUCAUGCCUGCAACAGUAGUUCAUUGCAAUAUGCUUUUAAAAAAUAUAUUUUUAAAUUUUUAUCAUUAUAUUAUCAAAAUUAUUGAAAAACAUAAAAGGAAUUUUAAUUUAAUAUUUUUUUCAAAAUAAAUAUAUUUUUUAAACAUUCAAUAUCAAAAGCUGCUGCAAUUUCAAGUCCCAAACACCACCUUAAACUUAUGGACAAGAAAGUAAUUUUUUUAAAAUAUUUUUUUAUUUAAAAAUAUAUUGAAAUAAAAUAUUUUUUUAAAAUUUAUUUUUAAUACUAUUUAAAAAAUACAUAAAAAAUUAAUUUAAAAUAAAUAAAAAAAUAAAAUAAAUAUUAAAGUUAUUUAAUAAUAUUUUUAUCGCACAGGCAGGCCAACGUUUCGUUCGCAGCAAAUAAGUUAAUGGAUUGUGACAGCAUUUCAAUUCUUAUACCCAUAUAAGAUGUUCUUCAAAAUAGUAAGAAACGCGGUAAAAAAUGUGUAUUUAAGGGCUAAACGACACCUCUUGGGUUGUUCUCGUUUUAUAUUUGAUGGGUAAUAACCCUGCUAAACGCACCUCUGGGGUUGUUGGCCUGGGUUUUGGUAAGGGCUAGGUUCCCUUGCUGUUUUUUUCUUCUUCUUUUUAAUUCUUUUCUUUUUCUCGAAGCAUGGAACAAUAAAAAAAACAAUUUAGUUCAUAAAUAUUUUUAAAUUUUAUUCUCUCGUAUUUAAGAAUUAUUAUGUUGUGGCUUGCUAGGUAGGCUCAUCGUGCAACCAAAUUAAUCAAACCCAAAAAAAAGAAGAGAUUUUGAUCAUCAUCCCUCUCUGCUUUUUCUUAAGGAAAUAUAUUGAUUCUCCCUCUAAUCUAAACUAAUGGCAAGAAUUUCUAUAUCAAUGUGAGUUUCCAAUAAAUUAUUUUAGGUAUUUUCAAAAUUAUAAAAGUAUCUUUCAAUAGAAAAACAAAACAAUAUAUAUUCUAAACACAAAUAUAUGAUACAAAUAGCGUAUCGCUGAGUGGUGAGUGGUGAAUAUCCCUUCUUAGCAUGACGUGCUGGAAAGCAUAUACUAGCUAGUGCAGAAUCUUUCAUAGACAGCCAGAAGUCAAGGAAUGAAGUGCACUUGCACUAGUAACUAAUCUUCUUCAUUCAAUCGGAAUAACUUGUUGGUUACCCGAUGUCUUGGGUUUCUGAGUGUUUUUCAAAGAUUUUCAAACAUGUCUUAACUACGUACUGAUCAUUUCCAUGAUCGGAAAAAGAGAAUAGUAAUCGACAUGCAAAAUUGCAAAUAGAUGUGUUUCUCGCUUCUAUAUAUAAUCACAUUAUACAUUAUGCUCUAAUAUGACUGCACAAUCAUUGAAAGCUACAGUUAACUAUUAGCGUAAUCAAAUUUGAUUUCAUCUUCUGUUCCAAGAAGCCAAGGAAAGAGUUAUAAUUGAAACAUUGUAUGCAUUUGACCGUCAGCCAACUAACAGUCCAUCACUAAAAACUUUGAAUGCAACUCCUUAUAAAUGCUAAAUGUAUCUGCAUCCUGUCUUUCCAUGCUCACCACUCAUUCCCAAACUCAUCAAGUCCUCUACUGUUCAUCAAUCUCUUCCGUCUCUCUGCCUGUAAGAAAACCCCGGAAGAGAAAAAUGGUUUCCGAGUCUCUUGGCCAUCUCUUCCUUGUUUCUUUCCCAGCCCAAGGCCAUGUAAAUCCUUUACUUAGACUUGGAAAAAUUCUUGCCUCCAAAGGCUUCCUUGUCACCUUCUCCACUACUGAAACCAUUGGCAAACAGAUGAGAAAAGCCAGUGGCUUCAUAGAUAAGCUGACCCCGUUUGGUGAUGGCUUUAUCCGGUUUGAGUUCUUUGAAGAUGGAUGGACAGAGGACGAGGAUAGGCACCAAGACCUUGAUCAAUACUUACUUCAACUUGAGCUUGUUGGUAAACAAGUAAUUCCUCAAAUGAUCAAGAAAAAUGAAGAGCAAGGGCGGCCUGUUUGUUGCCUCAUAAACAACCCUUUCAUUCCUUGGGUUACAGAUGUGGCCACAAGUCUAGGUCUCCCUUCUGCAAUGCUUUGGGUUCAAUCCUGCGCUUGUUUUGCCUCAUAUUACCAUUUCUAUCACGGUACUGUACCUUUCCCUGAUGAGGAGCACCCCGAGAUAGAUGUCCAAUUACCAUGCAUGCCUCUCCUAAAACAUGAUGAAGUGCCUAGUUUCUUACAUCCUACAACUCCUUAUGCUAUCUUGAGGAGGGCUAUUUUAGGUCAGUACAAAAAUCUUGACAAGCCAUUUUGCAUCCUGAUGGAAACAUUCGAUGAGCUUGAACCAGAGCUUAUCAAGCACAUGUCCGAAAUCUUCCCCAUCAAGGCCGUUGGGCCACUAUUCAGAAAUCCCAAGGCACCACAGACAACGGUCCAUGGAGACUUGCUGAAGGCAGAUGACUGCAUCGAAUGGCUUGACACAAAGCCACCUUCAUCAGUUGUUUAUGUGUCUUUCGGUAGUGUCGUGCAAUUGAAGCAAGACCAAUGGAACGAGAUCGCUUAUGGGUUAUUGAAUUCGGGCGUCAACUUCUUGUUAGUUAUGAAACCAGCCCACAAAGAUGCAGGACAUGACCUCCUUGUUCUGCCAGAUGGGUUCUCGGAGAAAGCAGGAGACAGGGGCAAGGUGGUGCAAUGGAGUCCUCAAGAGAAGGUUUUAGCUCACCCGUCAGUUGCGUGCUUCGUAACACAUUGUGGGUGGAACUCUACUAUGGAAGCACUCACAUCAGGCAUGCCAGUGGCGGCUUUCCCUCAAUGGGGUGAUCAAGUAACUAAUGCAAAAUAUUUGGUCGACAUCCUUAAGGUUGGUGUGAGAAUGAGCCGCGGAGAAGCAGAGAACAAACUGAUUACUCGUGAUGAGAUAGAGAAAUGCUUGUUGGAGGCCACAGCGGGACCUAAGGCAAUGGAAAUGAAGGAGAAAGCAAUGAAAUGGAAGGAGGCAGCGGAGGCAGCAGUGGCUGAGGGUGGUUCCUCCGACUGGAAUAUACGAUAUUUUACGGACGAUAUUGUAAAAGCGAAUGAGUCUGAGAUUGCUGGGAAGUGCAUUGGUUCUAAUGAGUUUCCAGUGUCGGUAGUAGUGAAGUCCAACGAGAAAGUGGCUGAACUGGUGGGGUCAUCGGCAUGAGGAGAUUUGCUAUAUGUGCUGUGAACGUGGAACUGGUUUAAUCCAGUGCUGUUAGUAUGGUGAAAUUAAUUACUCUUGUUAUGUAGUUGUCUACUUUUUACUUCUUUUAAUUAGCUAUUAAUAACAUAUAGCCAAGUGCCAUAUAAAGGCCAUAUGUAUCAUUUUAAGGUAUUGUUGAGUUGUUGUUGUAGUGUAAUUUCAAAAGUAACAAUUGUACCUGAUUUCUUGUGUUUUUAAGGUAUCGAUCGACAAUGCCGCUGGUAUUGUGUUUGCUAAAAAAAAAUAUAUUUUUAAAGUUAUUUUUUCUAUAUUUUUAUAUGAUUUUGAUAUAAUAAUAUUAAUAAUAAAAUUUAAAAAAUAAAAAAUAAAUUAUUUUAAUAUAUUUUCAAGUAAAAAAUAUUUUGAAAAUCAACCAUUAUCACAUACCACUAAAUUUGAUUUUUUAUUAAAUUAAUUUUUUUAUAUUUUUGAAUUGUUUUGAUGUGCUGAUGUUAAAAAUAAAAUAUAUAUUAUUUUAAUGUAUUUCUGAACGAAAAACACUUUAAAAAACAACCACUAACACAAUAUUAAACAUUAGUGUAUUACAACAUAUACACCAUUUAUGCAUCUUUUUCUUCCUCACUAGUGUUUAAAUUAACAUUAUUAGCAAAGAAAAAAAAAUAGCAAACGAGCAUGUUUUUCAAAAUAAUUUAAUUCAUAAAAUAUUUUAAAUUUUAUUUUCUUGUAUUUAAGAAUUAUUAUGUUGCGGCUAUCUAGGUAGACUCAUCGUGCAACCAAAUUAAUCCAACCCAAAAUAAAGAGAGAUUUUGAUCAUUAUCUCUCUCUGUCUUUUCUUAAGGAAAUAUAUUGAUUCUCCCUCUAAUCUAGACUAAUGGCAAGAAUUUCUAUAUCAAUGUGAGUUUCCAAUAAAUUAUUUUAAGUAUUUUCAAAAUUAUAAAACAAUCUUUCAAUAGAAAAACAAAACAAUAUUCCAAACACAAAUAUAUAAUACAAAGUUUUCAUAUUGAGUAGCAUGAAAAAAAAUUCCAAUCUCAACCAAUCCUUAAUGUUUUGGAAUGCAUAAUUCACUGCUAUCAUUUAUUAACUUUAAUAUAAUUUAUUUAUAUAAAAAAAGUAUGAUUUUGUUUUCUAUAAAAAAAUAGUACUCUGCAAAUCACAAAUGACACACACAAGUUGAUCAGAACCAUUCACCAGCACAAAACACUAUUAGAUGUACACUAUUCACGUCUUCUGCAGAGUGAAGCAGACCUCGAACUCAUGUUCAAAACAGCUGUAAUAACUGGUAGCUGUUGAAGUGGCACCAUUUAACUGGUCUCUCGUUCUGCUUCAAAGGAUGGCCUCACUUACAGAUUUGAAACUGGAAGCCUGUCUUUUUUUUGGCUCUGAAAGGGAUUCUCUUGUCUGCUUUUGUAGGUCUGUAAUUUUUUGGGAGCUUCGGCUUCUCUCAUCAGGAUUCAAUUGGAUGUUGCUGGGAACUCCGAACAAUACAAAUAUCGUAUUGCUGAGUGGUGAAUAUCCCUUCUUAGCAUGACGUGCUGGAAAGCAUAUACUGGCUAGUGCAGAAUCUUUCAUAGACAAACCAGAAGUCAAGGAAUGAAGUGCACUCGCAAUAGUAACUAAUCUUCUUCAUUCAAUCGGUAUAACUUGUUGGUUACCCGAUGUCUUGGGUUUCUGAGUGUUGCAAAAUCAUUGAAAGCUACAGUUAACUAUUAGCGUAAUCAAAUUUGAUUUCAUCUUCUGUUCCAAGAAGCCAAGGAAAGAGUUAUAAUUGAAACAUUGUAUGCAUUUGACCGUCAGCCAACUAACAGUCCAUCACUAAAAACUUUGAAUGCAACUCCUUAUAAAUGCUAUAUGUAUCUGCAUCCUUUCUUUCCAUGCUCACCACUCCUUCCCAAACUCAUCAAGUCCUCUACUGUUCAUCAAUCUCUUCCGUCUCUCUGCCUGUAAGAAAACCCCGGAAGAGAAAAAUGGUUUCCGAGUCUCUUGGCCAUCUCUUCCUUGUUUCUUUCCCAGCCCAAGGCCAUGUAAAUCCUUUACUUAGACUUGGAAAAAUUCUUGCCUCCAAAGGCUUCCUUGUCACCUUCUCCACUGCAGAAACCACUGGCGAACAGAUGAGAAAAGCCAGUGGCAUCAUAGAUAAGCUGACCCCGUUUGGUGAUGGCUUUAUCCGGUUUGAAUUCUUUGUAGAUGGAUGGGAAGAGGACGAGCCUAGGCGCCAAGACCUUGAUCAAUACUUACCUCAACUUGAGCUUGUUGGUAAACAAGUAAUUCCUCAAAUGAUCAAGAAAAAUGAAGAGCAAGGGCGGCCUGUUUCUUGCCUCAUAAACAACCCUUUCAUUCCUUGGGUUACAGAUGUGGCUACAAGUCUAGGUCUCCCUUCUGCAAUGCUUUGGGUUCAAUCCUGCGCUUGUUUUGCCUCAUAUUACCAUUACUAUCACGGUACUGUACCUUUCCCUGAUGAGGAGCACCCCGAGAUAGAUGUCCAAUUACCAUGCAUGCCUCUCCUAAAACAUGAUGAAGUGCCUAGUUUCUUGCAUCCCACAACUCCUUAUCCUUUCUUGAGGAGGGCUAUUUUAGGUCAGUACAAAAAUCUUGACAAACCAUUUUGCAUCCUGAUGGAAACAUUCGAAGCGCUUGAACCAGAGCUUAUCAAGCACAUGUCCGAAAUCUUCCCCAUCAAGGCCGUUGGGCCACUAUUCAGAAAUCCCAAGGCACCACAGACAACGGUCCAUGGAGACUUGCUGAAGGCAGAUGAUUGCAUCGAAUGGCUUGACACAAAGCCACCUUCAUCAGUUGUUUAUGUGUCUUUCGGUAGUGUCGUCAAUUGAAGCAAGACCAAUGGAACGAGAUCGCUUAUGGGUUAUUGAAUUCGGGCGUCAACUUCUUGUUAGUUAUGAAACCAGCCCACAAAGAUGCAGGACAAGACCUCCUUGUUCUGCCAGAUGGGUUCUUGGAGAAAGCAGGAGACAGGGGCAAGGUGGUGCAAUGGAGUCCUCAAGAGAAGGUUUUAGCUCACCCAUCAGUUGCGUGCUUUGUAACUCAUUGUGGGUGGAACUCUACUAUGGAAGCACUCACAUCAGGCAUGCCAGUGGUGGCUUUCCCUCAAUGGGGUGAUCAAGUAACUAAUGCAAAAUAUUUGGUCGACAUCCUUAAGGUUGGUGUGAGAAUGAGCCGCGGAGAAGCGGAGAACAAACUGAUUACUCGUGAUGAGAUAGAGAAAUGCUUGUUGGAGGCCACAGCGGGACCUAAGGCAGUGGAAAUGAAGGAGAAAGCAAUGAAAUGGAAGGAGGCAGCGGAGGCAGCAGUGGCUGAGGGUGGUUCCUCCGACUGGAAUAUACGAUAUUUUACGGACGAUAUUGUAAAAGCGAAUGAGUCUGAGAUUGCUGGGAAGUGC
rnacentral:lncRNA from 1 species